rnacentral:rRNA from 1 species
CCUACGGGAGGCAGCAGUGAGGAAUAUUGGUCAAUGGACGAGAGCCUGAACCAGCCAAGUAGCGUGAAUGAUGACUGCCCUAGGGGUUGUAAACUUCUUUUAUAUGGGAAUAAAAUGUUCCACGUGUGGGUUUUUGUCUGUACCAUAUGAAUAAGGAUCGGCUAACUCCGUUCCAGCAGCCGAGGUAAUACGGAGGAUCCGAGCGUUAUCCGGAUUUAUUGGGUGUAAAGGGAGCGUAGGUGGAUUGUUAAGUCAGUUGUGAAAGUUUGCGGCUCAACCGUAAAAUUGCAGUUGAAACUGGCAGUCUUGAGUACAGUAGAGGUGGGCGGAAUUCGUGGUGUAGCGGUGAAAUGCUUAGAUAUCACGAAGAACUCCGAUUGCGAAGGCAGCUCACUGGACUGCAACUGACACUGAGGCGCGAAAGUGUGGGUAUCAAACAGGAUUAGAUACCCUGGUAGUC